UCUCUCUCUCUCUCUCUCUCUCUCUCUCUCAUUGUUAAGAUGACGGCCAUUGCGUCGGCGUUGACUGUUUUAAUGAGCCUUCGUCUCUGUUGACCCUAAUUGCCAAAUGGGCUGGGACUGUAUACCAAGUGAAGGCAGACACAGUGGGUUUGUUUUUUCGUUACAUGGUGGAGAAAGGAAUUCCGAUUAAUGGACGGAUUCGAAAAUCGAUUACAUAUUUUCUCUUUCACACGCGCCGUUUUAAUCCUCUUAUCCGAAUAUGUUUUUCUUGUUUGUCAUCACUGACUUUAUUGACGUCCAUUUACAGGUGUCACGACCAAUAGACAUUUACUCUUCCUGAAUCUACGAGGUCCCAACCCUCAAUAGUUUGCUUAACGUGGUUUGUAUAGCUUUCCGUGGCAAGGUGAGGAAGCUCCAGCACGCCUGCAUGGCACACAGCUGUUAUGGAACUUGAGAAUAUUUCUUUAAUUCUUACAGGCAUUCGUUUUCAUUACUUAAGGGCCAAAAACCAUUAAGCUACACCGUGGCCUUGAAUGGCGUUUGCAGAUACCAGCGCGAGUCGCAGUCGAGCAGGGGCAGCAUGAGAGUCUUUUUAAGCAGUAGCCUAUCAUGAUUUACUCACUGAACCUUUUCUCUCACAUCAAGGAAAGAUAAAGAGCCUGCUGCCCUCCGUGACUGCAACUGCUUACGUCCAUGAUCAUGAACAUCAGGCUUCAUUUUUUUUUUUUUUUGCCAGUUUGUUCAUAUUUGAUCUUGAAAAAUGGUAGUAGGCCUCUUUCACACCAAGGUUCACUCAGUAUCUUCAGUGAUUUGAUAUAAAAGCUAAUAUUGAGUGAGCUGCUUGGAAGCUGAAUGCAGCAUCCAAGUCUUACAUAAAUCUUUGUGUAUUUCUUUAAGUACCGAACCUGUUCGAAGUAGGGAACCGAAGCGGGGCAAGUCACUCCAACCCAUGCUGCCACGCUCCCAGCUAGUGGCAGUGUUGCCGGGUCUAAUUUGUUGUGUACACUCGUGCGACUCCAUCCGUUUUCGAACUUCACCAUGGUCAAGGUGAAACGAAACCGCAGCAGAUCUACCAACAGUUUGUUUCCAACAAGCAUGUCAAUGAGCUGCCAAAAGUCGCGGACCAUUAGUGGCUCUUCCCGGAGGAUGGCUUAAGUGUGUUCCUGGUCAACACCACACAAUGGACGUCUACAGUGCAACGCAGCGGCGGGGCGGUACGGCCGAGACUCCAGUGCCGCGAAUGUGGGGAACUUACUCCAUGAUGAUGGAGGCUGGAUUGUUACUCGCCUGCCUCUGCUAACGCUGACUGAGGGACUGCCAGGAAUGAGGUACACAACAUUCCAAUGUGACGGAAAACUUUCAAUUUAUUUUUAUUAUACAACUUAAAGUUAUGUGAAUGAUUGUUCAUUGAAGACAUGGUAGAGAAUUCAAGGAGUUGAGAGUAAAAAAAAAAAUAAUAAUAAUGAAAUGCCAGGAAGAAAAAUCGUAAUGGCGAAGCAAAACAAAUUUCGUUUCAAAAGUCACUGACUGCUUCUGACGGCUGGAGUCGGUCAGGGGAACAUACUUAGUCAGCUGUAGUGGAGACUAAGGGAGGAGGGGAAGGGGCACCGUUGAAGGGGAUUACUUUUGUCAAGAAGAGAAAACUGGAGAAAAGGGGUAGAAAAGAUUUGGAGGCAGGAGAGAGAGAGAGAGAGAGAGAG